CAAAGCAUGUCAGGAAGUCAAACCUGUAGUAUAUGAAGAUGAGAACAGUUUCCCACUACGGAAAUCAAAGCAGCCAAGAGAGGAUAAAUACAAAAGUAGUGGUUAGAAUGAAAAUGUCUGAAGAGAGCGAUGACAUGCUUGAAGAUGCCAGUCAUUUUAACUUUGUGAGAUGAGAGACAUCAUUGCCUAGUAAUCUAGGAAGUCACCCAGGAACUCAGUAUUGAGGAAGCUUUGGCUAUAAGUAUACUUAUAAACAAAGACACCUACAGACUCAGAGCAAUAGCUACAAAGAAGAUCCACCAAGUCUGGAGCCUUUGACAGUGCAGUUAUUUCAGACACCAUUGGCUAUGCUGCGGGAUCAGCAUCAGCCUGACCUGAUUUUUGUGAAGAGUCCUAAGAAUCUAAAAUGCUUGCUUCUGGGAAAAGGAAUUCGAAUAGGACCUGAACCACGAUGUGACGAUGUGACGACUAGACCUUCCCUUCCCACCAAUGGGGACAGUGGAACACAGACUUCUCCGUGAACAGAGACUUGGAAAAUUCCUUACAAAAUCUGAAAAAACAAAGGAUAAAUAAGUUUAGAAAACAUGUCCCCGUGUUUCCAGGUAUACAAUGUUUAACAUCUGCAAAGGCUGAAGAUUUGCAUUCCUGCCAUUUAUUUUGUGCAUCAUUCUAAUUACAUGAGCAAAUUCUUCUGGAACAGCCUUGACUAAUAAGGUAGGCUGCAAAGGAAUCCAGGACUUGGUCCAUGUAAUGACGGAUAUGUCUGUCAACAAAAUGCCUUGACAAGAUUUCUUAAAUGAGUCUCCCCAAGCACAUUAUUCACACUUGAUCCGCACCCAGAAGCAAGACUUCUAAAGUUUUACCAGCAACAGGGAAACAAAUGCACAACCAGUCAGAAGCCAAGAAUUUGGACAAAUCACAUUAGAAAUUGUCAUUAAUUUCAGUUUCACAGAUUCUUUAAUCCAUUUAGAUUAGGAGAAGAAAGAUGUUUAAGGCAGAAAUCUCCCACAACAGAUGACUUAAACAUUCCUUUUGCGAACAUCACCGAACAGGGGAAAACGCAAGUCUAAAUCAAGUGCCUCUUACGACAAGGUCCUGUGCUCGUCAGCACGGCUCUAAGCAGACACAAGACUGGCAUCCCUGGGAAGAGACAGUCGUAAUCCCAUGAAGUCUUUUUUAUAAGCAGACAUCAACAGUCCUAUUCUAAGGUGGAGUAGUAUUAAACAAGAUAAACAGAGAAAACAUUUUAUUUCAAAGCACAUUUUAUCCAAGGAUUCCACAUGUGGGAAGAGUUUUACCUGUCAUUCCAAAGAAAAAAAGCCCAAGAAGUUAAGUGACUUUCCUUGUUGACUGUGCAACGUAACAAUUAGUUCAUUAGAGAGUAGGUUAAGUCAUUGGGUUUUAGAUCUAUAGCAUUACUGUUAAGCCAUAUUUGAUGGGAGGUGAGAAGGAAGAAAAGGUACAUAUAAAUUUGUAAUAAUGAAAUAAUCAAUUUUUAUAACAUGAUAUAUAAAACAGACUUUUUUUCUUUUGAGGAAGAUUAGCUCUGAGCUAACAUCUGCUGCCAAUCCUCCUCUUUUUGCUGAGGAAGACUGGCCCUGAGCUAACAUCUGUGCCCAUCUUACUCUACUUUAUAUGUGGGAUGCCUGCCACAGCAUGGCUUGACAAGUGGUGUGUAGGUCUGCGCACAGGAUCCGAACCAGGAACCCUGGGCAGCCAAAGAGGAGUAUGUGAACCUAACCUCUACACCACCGGGCUGGCCCCUAAAACGGAUUAUUUUUGACCUCUCUGCUAUAGUUCAUAUUUUUACAGGUUUUAUAAUAUAACUUCUUGUAGGCCGCCAAAUAUCCUUUGUAGAAAGAGCUGAAAUAAAAGUUAACACCCAGAAUUAUUUUCAACUCCUCAUUAAAAUUGUGACAUUGACAGAAAAUAAUAACUAGACAUUCAUGCUCAGGAUGUCCUAUGCACUUUAAAUGCUGUGGUUUACUUUUUAAUAUUUUCAAAUUUUUAUUCUUGACGAUCAUGAACCUUAGUAGUAAUCAUGAAUAAUAAAAACAAGCUUAGUAAAAUUUGCCAGUAGGAAGAAAAUUAUAAAUUAAUAGCAUGCUAUUAUAGGCCAAAUUAAAUCAGACUUUCUAGGAAAAAGAAUUGAAAGUAUCACUUUUAAGCAAAAUGCUAAUAGGUCUAAAGAACUUUCCAGAAUAAUAUUACAUAAUAGUUAAUUGGUUGUUUUUGUCAUUUACAUUUCCUUUUGAAACCUCUUACUCCUACUGAUAU
ensembl:lncRNA